rnacentral:rRNA from 1 species
AGCAGCCGCGGUAAUUCCAGCUCCAAUAGCGUAUAUUAAAGUUGUUGCAGUUAAAAAGCUCGUAGUUGAAUUUCGGGAUCAAUAUAUCGGUCGUGCCUUGGUACGUACUGGUAUCAUUGGUUUCUCCUUUCUGACGAACCAUGAUGUCAUUAAUUUGGUGUUAUGGGAAGUUAGGACUGUUACUUUGAAAAAAUUAGAGUGUUUAAAGCAGGCUUUAGCUUGAAUACAUUAGCAUGGAAUAAUGAAAUAGGACGUUCGAACCUAUUUUGUUGGUUUCUAGGAUCAACGUAAUGAUUAAUAGGGGUAGUUGGGGGCAUUAGUAUUCAAUUGUCAGAGGUGAAAUUCUUGGAUUUAUUGAAGACUAACUACUGCGAAAGCAUUUGCCAAGGAUGUUUUCAUUAAUCAAGAACGAAAGUUAGGGGAUCGAAGACGAUCAGAUACCGUCGUAGUCUUAACCAUAAACUAUGCCGACUAGGGAUCGGAUGAUGUUAAUUUUUUAAUGACUCAUUCGGCGCCUUAC